GACGAACGCUGGCGGCGUGCCUAAUACAUGCAAGUUGAGCGCUGAAGGUUGGUACUUGUACCAACUGGAUGAGCAGCGAACGGGCGAGUAACGCGUGGGGAAUCUGCCUUUGAGCGGGGGACAACAUUUGGAAACGAAUGCUAAUACCGCAUAAAAACUUUAAACACAAGUUUUAAGUUUGAAAGAUGCAAUUGCAUCACUCAAAGAUGAUCCCGCGUUGUAUUAGCUAGUUGGUGAGGUAAAGGCUCACCAAGGCGAUGAUACAUAGCCGACCUGAGAGGGUGAUCGGCCACAUUGGGACUGAGACACGGCCCAAACUCCUACGGGAGGCAGCAGUAGGGAAUCUUCGGCAAUGGACGAAAGUCUGACCGAGCAACGCCGUGUGAGUGAAGAAGGUUUUCGGAUCGUAAAACUCUGUUGGUAGAGAAGAACGUUGGUGAGAGUGGAAAGCUCAUCAAGUGACGGUAACUACCCAGAAAGGGACGGCUAACUACGUG
rnacentral:rRNA from 1 species